AUUUGCAUGGCAUAAAUUGCGUAGCUUAUUUUGAGGUAAGAUUGCAGUGUAGACACACCUUGAGGUGCCACAAUACUAGAAAGCAGUUAUCACAACAGAAAGAGUUCACUAAUAAAGACCUUUUUAUUAUCAAUUUUAAGAAUUGCUGAGUUAGUGAUUCUCCAAACUUGUAAAUCUUUGAAUCCUUUAAUAUUAGAAAGAUCCACUUGUGAAUCACCUUCCGAAUCUGAUUCCAUUAUGUUCCUUGCAGCAUUCUGUGUCUGUUCUGGUGGAAGGAGCUUAGAUGUAAUUGGGAAUUACAUUGGUAAAUCAAAUAACAAUGAAUGGCCCCUGUUAUUAUCGUUUACAACAUUUAUAUGGGGAAAAAGGUUCCGGAAGGAACCUUCAUUGCUUCAUUGCAGUGUCACAAACCCAUGGGUGGAAUGUUCUAAUGCAGAAACUGCAGUUUUCUCCCAGAAAAUGUGUGGCUGGUAUAUUAAAUUAACAGCAGACCGCUGAACAGCAAAUAGGUCAGUACACACAAAGAAAGUGAGGAAUUCUGCUUUACUGGACUCUGCAUAUAUGCUGUGUAUCAUUAUCGAGGCAAAGGAAUAGUCCAAAUUUCAGAAAAAAAGGACUCUGCUGAUAAUCCAAACUCUUCCAAAAGAGAUUAUUUAUUUAUUAUAUGGUUUCCAUAAUUUAUCCAUUCUAUGAGCAAGACAUAAACUGCAUUGUGGGGUUGCAUCUCGCAAAACCGGGACACGCUUGUCUGGCAACAUCCAUGAUCUGGCAGGACUACAGAUGUUCUUGAAUGAGAGCCCCAGGGCAGGAGGACAAGCAGCCGAGAACCCUGCACAUGUCGAGGCUGGUGGUAGUGGGGCCAGAGCCUCAGCAGCCCAGCAGCAGUAGCGGGGCCAUAAGUAGCGGGACAGAGGCAGACAGGCAACCCCGCUGGGGCCAGAGCAGCCUGUUCCACAGAGCAACACAAUUGGGGCUGUGUGCUGACCCGGAAGCAGGGCAGAGCCGCAGCAGCCUGGCUGGUGAUAAGGCUGGGCUGUGGCAGUCCAGCAGGGAAAACCUAUCAGGAGCUGUGGCUGUGGAG